rnacentral:lncRNA from 10 species
AGUCAGAUGGUAAGCAAAGAUGCAAAUAAAAAUAUCAGCUUCUGAUAAGUGCAGUGGAGAAAAAUAAACAAGAAAAAAAAUGCUACUGUGUUCAUUUCUUAGUAUGUGCCAAAAAAUGAUCUCAUUGAAUCCCCAAGAUAAUCCUAGGAAUUAUGUCCUAUUCCUAUCAUCCCCAUUUACAGAUGAAGAAAGUGAGGCACAGAGAGGCUAGGGUGGUUGCUGAAGGUCACACAGCCAGGAAGUUACAGAGUCAGGGCUGGAACUCAGGACAGCCUGAAACCACAGCCCUCGUUCAUAUUCAGUAAAACCCGGCAGUGAACCCCCAGCAGUGUUCACAUCCCUGGCACAUACUGGGCACAUAUCAAUUUGGAACCCAGUGGAAUGACUGAAUUGUGUCUCUGCCCACAAUACGAGUGCCAUAAUUUUCCUCAUGCAAAAUGGCAGGUGUGUUAACCUCUUGCAACAUCAUCAGGGCUGGAGGAGGACUUCAGACUGAGCUGGGACAUGGGGAGAGCCUCUGUCCCCAGGUUGUUUUCUGCUGGGCAACUCCCCUCCAGAGUUCAGUUCUGCUGGCACAUGCCUAAGUGAUUAGCUGGCUCUGAGCCUGAGCAUGGCAUAGCUCACCAGGGUGGGCCCUCACAGCUCCCAGGAACCAGCAAAUAGCCGGUGGAGGAAAGCACUGAUUCCCUAUUCGCCUUUUUCUGCCAUUAUCAGCACCAGUGGCUUUCCAAAGAUGAGUUGAUAUAAGCAUCCUGUCAGAAAGGAUACAGCCUAAUAAAUGGAAUGUCCCUUCCCCUCUCUAGGCCUCAGUUUGCCUAUCUGUCAAAUGAGGAGAGUGGAUUAAAGUGCACUUUUCAAACUGUCUUUCCUGGCUCUACAGAGCUUUCUUAGGGGCUGCUGAAGAUGAUGGGGAGCUGAUGAUUAGAAGAGAGUGGCUGUGGCCAAAUAUUGGAAACUCAAUAGUGUCUCUGAGGAUACUUAGGCUUUGAGGGGGGAUCCCAGUGCCUAAAGGGACCUGGCUGAUAAUACGAAAGAAUUCAGCCUCUGGGUAGGGACUGGAGCAAACUGAGCCCACGUUUCAUCCAAGGGGGCGGCCACUUCUCAGCUCCAGUCCCCUGGGGCCACUUGUGGCCAGAUCCUCUGAGUUUUUGGUAAAACUUGAACAUAUGGAUUUUUAUGUUAAAUGUUCCAAUUUUAAAAAGUCGGUCAUGAACUCAAAAUCUUCUAAAACAGUGUGAGGCAGACAAAGCAUAUCUGUGGGUUACAUUUGGCCCUAGGCCAGCAAUUUGGAACUCUGUUCUAGAAGGCUGGGGAUGAACUUUAUUCUCUCCGUCCUUCCAAUUUAAUGAGCAUUAGGAUUGUGGUGAGAUGAUUGGAAGAAGUGUUGGUGGCUGGGCGCAGUGGCUCACGCACUUUCGGAGGCCGAGGUGGGUGGAUCAUUUGAGGCCAGGAGUUCGAGACCAGCCUGGACAAUAUAGUGAAACACCAUCUGUACUAAAAAUACAAAAAGUAGCUGGGCGUGCUGGUGGGUGCCUGUAAUCCCAGCUACUCCAGAAGCUGAGGCAUGAGAAUCGCUUAAGCCCAGGAGGCGGAGGUUGCAGUGAGCUGAGACCGUGCCACUGCACUCCAGCCUGGGCGACAGAAUGAGACUCCGUCUC